GUCUUGAAUUCUUAAUUUAUUUCCAUUUUGUUUAUUGAGUAGAUUUUUCAACUUAAAUUCAUGUUUGCAAGGUACAUAUACAUUUAACAUGAUAAAAAUAUUCAAAUAGUGCAAAGGUGCAUAUCCUUGGAGUACUUCUUCCUUCUACUCUGUUCUCUCUUGGCUGCCUACUUCCUCUCUUUGGAGGAAACCAAUUACCAAGGUCUUGUGCAUCUCUCCACAGACAGUUAUGCAAGUAUACAAAUAUGUCUACGUACAUUUAUCUUGGACACAGAGAUGUAGGACCAGAUCCCUUUUCAUGAAAGGACUUGUUGCUCCAGCUUCUAUGAGUGCUGUCCAUAGACACAGUCUUUAGCUGUCAGCCCCAUUCAGAGAUCAUCUCUGCUAUAGAGCUGCUUACCCAAGGCCAUGAUCUUCCCAGGGCAGCCCACAUCUAAUGACUCAAAGAGAAGGCUAUUUCAGCCUGACACUGGCCAUUUGUGAUGGAAAAAUUUAAUUCCAGAAUUCUUUCUUCACAGGGUGACUUAUCCCUCUGUUCAACACUGCUUCUGCACCCCCACCUGCCACAGGUCCCCCUGGUGCCAGAUGUCACCUAUCACACCCCUGGGGACUGGCUGAAAGAUCUUAUCUUUGAACGAAGAGCAGGCAAAGCAUUUAAAGGACCAACGUGUUCUGUUCUGCAGCCCUGGAACUCACAAUUCAUGACUUGCAGGUAG
rnacentral:lncRNA from 1 species